rnacentral:lncRNA from 1 species
GACCUCUUCAGCCUGGACUUCACUGUUCAUAUCACUAUCAGCAUUUUGGUCAAAACCAUUCAAUAAGUUGCUAGGAAGUUCCAAACUUUCCCACAUCUUCCUAUUUUCUUCUGAGCCCCCUACUGUUCCAAACUCCACCUGUUACCCAGUUCUAAACCUGCUUCCAUAUUUUCAGGUGUCUUUAUGGCAAUGCCCCACUCUCCCAGUACCAAUUUU